UGUGGAGCACGCCUUUAACCCGUUUUUCAGGUGAAACAAGAGGAUUGCUGUGAAGUGGUAGGCUAUCCUGGGCUAAAUAGCACGACCUUACCUCAUAAAACAAAUAAAAAUUACCUUCGAGCUAUUGCGUCGCUGCCGUUUUUAAACCGUUUUGCUUCGUUUUUCUCGUAGCAGAUAUCAAUGACUUCUAAUUAAACGUUAAAGCUGAACGAAGUUUGGAAAAUUUUUUCUUUUCUUUUUUUUCGGGGGUUUUAUCUCCUGAGACAGGAAUUCUCCGUAUAGACAUGGCUGUCUUGGAAGUCAUUCCGUAUACCAGGCUGGCCUCGAACUCAAGACACCAACUUUCCUCUGCCUUCGGAGUGUUGGGACUAAAGACGUGUGCGACCAUGGGUAGCUGGCAUUAAUUUCUAAUACCAUCUGACAGUCCAUCCUUUGAGUGAAAUGGUGCCCCCCACGUAGGUUCAAGUAUUUGAAAGGUUGGUGUCUGUCGGGUAGCAGUUUUCUGGUACCUUUAAGAAGGUGGAGCCUUGCUAGCGGAAGUCCCACCCAGUGGGUGGGGCUCCAGAGUGUUCAGCUGUUCCGGCGUAGCGGAGCUUGUGCGCCAUGACACCUCAAAUGGUGGUGGGCUCUAUCAGGAUGAAGCUGAGCAUCUCCUUCCCAGCCACUGGCUGCCAGCAACUCCCGGACAAUGAAGCAAGCUCUGCCUAUUCCACGAGAGGCGAGAGGUUACAGAAGUAGUUGCUGAUCCUCUGGGUGAAUAGUGGAGGGGCUGCAUGGUCUGAACCAGUGGUGGGAACAGCAGAGAAGGAUUUCCCUUGAAAGGGCCCAGCAAGGUGUGUGGACCUGCUGUUGUGUAAAACUCUUGUUAGAGACCAAAGAAAACCGGAAAGAGGCAGCCCGAGUCUGUCUGCAGUCACAUAAUGGAUGCCGGUCUGAGUUCUCAACUUGGUUAUCAUGAGCACAGGAGAGGAGACUCCCGGACUGACAGACAUGACUGUGCUUCAGCGCUUAGGGCCCAGAAGAACUGCAGAACCUGAAAACUUUUCAGUCUUUCUGAAGAGGCUGAUGGUGUCGGCCAACACAUUGUCAGAAAGUAAGCAGAGGAUGUAAGAAGCCCAGGACCAAAGCCCCCAAGAUCCAGCAUCUCCUUAUUCCAGCAAACGCUGAUGUAUUGUUCAGUGGAGACGCCAUGCUGUGGAGACCGAGGAGAGGCUGCAGCUAGGCGUUGGGCCAGGAGAAUGAAGGAAGCCAAAGUGGGGGAAAAUGCCAGGAGCAGACUCCCAAGAGAUGUAGCUGCUUCCACUUCCAAGUCAA